rnacentral:lncRNA from 1 species
AUCCAAGAUUUUAAUUCAACAUAUUUGAUUGUUGGUUAUUUCAUAAGACCCACAUAGUAAAAAAAAAGUAGAUAUGGUAGAAAGUAGAGACCAACAAAUAGUAUGUGAUAUACACAUGGCAAACAUGUAUAUCAUAUGUCCCCUGGAAAUUUGUUUGUAAUUAUGAUUUAAAAUUACACUAGGGACUGAUCAUAAGGAAAAGUCUCCCCUUACAAUAUUGUCAAAUAUACCUUCACUAUACUCAAGAAAUGGGUACUGCUAUAGUACCAGGAAUCAUGGUAUGUUUACUUGGAAUAUGUCUUAGGUCCAUGAUAACCAAGUACAUAAGUAUAUUUUAAUUGAACAAAACUCUACUUGACGUAGUCACAAAAAAUAAAAAUUAAAAAUUAAAAAAUUGUUUGAACCUAUAGCUUUCAUUAAAGGAUGAUAUAAAGUUUUAAAAAACUUGUAACACAAUGAACAAAAGAAGAUUAUGUUUACAUUUUAGCAAUUUUACUUAUUAUUUUGGUCAGGUUAGUGUCUAACAUUUUGAUGGAUCAUAAAUUUAAUUUCUUGAACUAAUAAUACAUUUAUUUCAUGGUUGCACCAUAUAUAGUAUAUGUAUAUCCUCUAUAAAUAAAUAAAUUUCGUCUAUUUAAAAUAUUGUAGCAUAAAUUUCGGUAAUCCCUUAUUAAAUUCAAAUCAUAUGUUAAUAUGUAAUCAAUUUGUGAUCUAUUAAAUCCCAUAAAAUCAGGAACAUAAAUUUAUCCAAUAAAAAUUCAACAACAAUAAAUUCAUAAAACCUGGUAGUAUAUUAUGAAGAUAUUAUUAUGUGAAUAAGGUUAUAUCUCUAAAUAUACCUCAUAACGUGAAAGCAAUCAUUUUGAAAAUCCUCAUUUGUCUUCUUUGUCUUUGAAUUGGAUAUGCAAUUCUUAUUUCCUCAAAGUUACAGCAAUCUGCUUCAUAGAAGUUCUAUUCCUCAUUUCAGUUCACACGUUAACUGCUUUUCAUUUUAAAGCCCUCUUACUUCCUGCAAGAUUUCAAUAUUCAUAUACCAGGUUAGUCUUUUGACUUUUAAUUACAUUGGUUUCUGUAUGGAUUUAUUGUUGAACAUUGAAAGUCAAUUGAUUUAUUGUAUUCCAAUUCCAUACUCAUUUGCAACUAAAUGUUGAAAUGGAAUUGAAUUCCAAUUCCGACCAAACUAAAGAAAAACAUCGAUCAAAAGCCAUCUUGACUAAGAAAAUAUUAUUUACGUGGUAAAGUUCCAUCAAGUUGUUAAAGCUCUAAUCUUUUGAAACAAGGUUUUUGAAUCUCUUCAUCUGUCACAAUAUCUGCAAAUACUGUAAAAAAAGUGUUAUCUCUUGUGAACUAGAUUUCACAAACUGAAGUUUAUUCAAAAUAUGUACAUACUCGGAAAAAAAUGUGUUACCUCUUCUAAAUAGACAUUCAUUCCUACUAACUGUAACAAGCAUGCUCGAAUAGAUGUUUUGAAUCAAUAAUCUAUUUUUUAAUCAACACCACUUUUGGUAUAUCCAACGAUUUUUUCUUCAUGGUUUCCAUGGAGAACUAGGGUUUUACCCCCUCAUAUCAUCCCAACAAUUAAUUGGUUGAAAUUGGGGAAAGAACAAUUCGAAAUAAAAUAAGCCCUAGGUUGGAAAUGACGAUGAUGACCGGUGAUGCACAUCAGGGAAGGAAUUGAGGUAGGCAGUAGAAUAAGGAGAUUCGGGGUUAGGAUCGUCUAUUCUCAUGGAAACGGAGACUAUGUCGUAUGAGGAGAGCUCACUGUAGAUGAAAUCCUCAAGUUUCCAUUUCAUGAGUUGUUGAAGACAAUCGAUGGUGGCUGAAUCGAUGAAAUAAGUUGAGGGUUAACCGGCGAGUGAGUGAUAGGAAGACACACACAGAAAGAGAAAGAUAGAGAGAAUGAGUGAUGAAGAAGAUGUCUGUAGAAAGAGAGUUGAUGCGAGAGUAUGGCGAUUUCUUGACCCGAUUUCUUUCUGCAUAUACAACACAUGUGACUACUGACAAUGCGUGUGGGUAUUGACUAUUAUUUGGAUCCUUUCGACCCAUAUUUAGCUUUAGGUAUACCAAAAGUCAUGUUAACUUUAAUAUAUUUAAUUAAAUACAAUUUUACACAUUAUAAACAAAUAUAAAGUUCGAUUUUAUAUUAUUUAAAAUCUUAAAAAGAUUUAAGUUGAGUUAUUUUUUAAUAAAAUAAUACAUCACUAAAUUAAUAUUUGUAGAUUUACAAAACCAUUGUAUUAAACAAAUACAUAAAAAAUUAUAUAAUCCAUCGUAUAAUGUUAAUUUGAUAUUUCUUAAAUAAUUUAAUUUUUAA